AUUGAACGCUGGCGGCAGGCUUAACACAUGCAAGUCGAGCGAGCGGCGGACGGGUGAGUAAUGUCUGGGAAACUGCCUGAUGGAGGGGGAUAACUACUGGAAACGGUAGCUAAUACCGCAUACCAUCAGAUGUGCCCAGAUGGGAUUAGCUAGUAGGUGGGGUAAUGGCUCACCUAGGCGACGAUCCCUAGCUGGUCUGAGAGGAUGACCAGCAACAUGAGAAGUGAGAGACGGUACAGAGGCCUACGGGAGGCAGCAGUGGGGAGUAUUGGACAAAGUGCGCGAGCCUGAUGCAGCCAUGCCGCGGGUGUGAAGAAGGCCAACGGGUUAUAAAGCACUUUCAGCGAGGAGGCGUUACUCGCAGAAGAAGCACCGGCUGACUCCGUGCCAGCAGCCGCGGUAAUUC
rnacentral:rRNA from 1 species